ensembl:misc_RNA Metazoa_SRP Metazoan signal recognition particle RNA
GCCGGCACAGUGGUGCGUGCCUGUAGUCCCAGCUACGUGGGAGGCUGAGGUGGGAGGAUCGCUUGAGCCCAGGAGUUCUGGGCUGUAGGGCACUAUGCCGAUUGGGUGUCCACACUAAGUUCAGCAUCAAUACGGUGACCUCACGGGAGCAGGGGACCACCAGGUUGACUAAGGAGGGGUGAACUGGCCCAGGUCAGAAACGGAGCAGGUCAAAACUCCCGUGCUGAUCAGUAGUGCGAUGGCACCUGUGAAUAGCCACUGCACUCUAAAAAAAAAAAAGAAU